AGCCGCAUUGGUGCCGGAGCUAAAGUACGCUACUGGGGACCAUUUCCCCUCCUGCUGCCACUGCAACAGAAUCGCCCCGUACCCUAGACUGCACGCAUCUGUAUGAAGCUGAGUCUCUGCGGAGGGAUUAUAUAAACUCAACACCGGAGGAACUACUCGAGCACAAUACGGGGAGAUACUAGGCUGAAUUAUUCCCCGUUCGAGAAGAUCAUCGGUGAUUUUUCUGAGUUCCAACCGCUCAGCAUUCGCGAAACGUUUCGGAGCGAACGCGUAAAUCGACGGGUCUUUAAGAUGAACUUCGACGGUGUUAUUAUCUUCGACCGAUUGUUUUGCUCGGCCUCGAUACAAAGCGGUAAAUACGCAAACAAAUUG